UUGUGUUAUUGUAACAUUCAAAUUACAAAUUUCCCUUUUCUGUAGUACAAGUAAACGUAGAAGAAAAUUGUUGAGAAAACAUUUUAUUUGCUAGUAUAAUAUUUCUCGAGAACCAAACAGAAUCUUAAGUUUCAGUUCCCGUCACGACCUUGCAAAUAAUAUUUUUUAGGUGAAAAUUUUAGGUGAUCCAUUGUUCAUGGACAAGGUUUUGAUCUGAUUUAUUGACAGGAGCUCUGUGCAGUCUUACAGUUCCUAACAGGUGCUGCAAACCUGAUGCGUUUGUAUGUUUACAAGUUUUGUACAGUUUGAUUUACUUGGAACUUGGCAUGUGGCACACCCUAGCUCAAUGGCAGGUUCUCUCAUAUUUGAAGAGUCGGUCGAUGGCCUUGAGACGUGACUUUGCUGGUAAUGAAAGGUAAAUGACCCAACUUAAACUACACCUUUAUAGUCUUUUUUUUAUUUAUUGCAAAUGGAGGGGAGGUUCGAGUUUAGUAUAAUAUAUAUCUAUCACUAGACGAAAUCUGCAGAAACUUACUACCCCAGCUGUUAUUAGAAUUGACAAUAUGAAAAAACUAUGAUUUUCUUGCAUUGUCUCUAAAAGCAAUUGUGACAUCGUUCAUCACUAAUUGUAUUUGUUGUGAUUAGCACAAUAAUAAAUUAACAAUAACCAAUUCAAUACAAAAAUAAAAAUAUUAAAAUGGAAAAAGUUGAAACCGAAAAUAGAAAAGUUACAAAAUUCGAAAACACAUGGACUUGAGAAAUAUUCAUGCAACAUAGAUAAAUGAAUUACUUUUUCCCUUUUAAAAAUAAAUGAAUUACUUUUUCUGCCUCAUUUAUGAUUUGGUAGAUUCAGCGAUUUAGAAUUCUCCAUCACUAAGAUUCGACGAGAGACCAAAAUAUAUGGAACCAUUGUCCGUACAUCAUGUAUGAAGGACCAAUUCAAAAGUAUGUUGCAGAACAUAUUGUUUCUGAAAUUUGCAGUAUUUUGAGUUCUUAUAGCCUAUAGGGUCUAGCUCUAUUUAAAAAUGUAGUGUUUGUGUGUGUCGUUAUUAGGCUAAGCACUACUUUUUGUGACUUAAUGGCUGAGCACUAUAUUUGCCGUGGGAUUGCUACUCUGAUUUAUGUUGAAUUGUACCCCUAGGAUUAUUAAAUUCUCAAUUUGGUCCUUUUGGAGGUAAGAAAACUAGAAAAACUAUGAAAUGUGAGCUUGUCUGAUAGUCAGACAUGUGAAGCUAAUUAAACUCUGGGCUGAGGAUUUCAGCUCUUAAUUUUUUGGACCGAAUCAACCAUAGGUUUUCGGUUGAACUAAUUCGAUCAGGUUUGCUUUUAAACCCCCUAAAUCUAGGAUUGAUACAAAGUUGAACGGGUUCAGAUUAAGCUUAUACGAGAUCUAAUGAUAAAUAUGACACAAGUAAAUAGUAAGUUAAAUCUAUCUAAUUCGUCUAAUAGACAGUUAAACUUGUAUAUUAGUUGUGUUAACUAGUGAUCUAAAUGUACUCAUACAUAUAACUUAAUUAUUAUUUGUUGUAUGAGAGCAACUACAAAAAGGGUAAAUAAGGAACAAAAUGAAAUCUAUAAGGUAGAAGCAUUACCCUGGAAUAAAGGUAUGGGUAUUGCACGGAAGGGUACUUGAUUUGACUACAUUUAACUUUUAUGGGGCCGAAGUGACAAAAAAUUAAAUCAAAACUGACCAAACACAAAAUCUUUAUCUUUGUUUACUACUACACUCGUCAAAAAUAAUUAUGUAUUUUUAUUUUUUAUUUUAUGGGCGCAGGAUAUAUCAUAUAGUGGGUCCUUGCUAACAAGCGCGUCUAGUGCUUAGCCUUUCAAUUCAACCGCCCCUUCAAAUUAUUGCUCUUUCUCUAUUUACAUCUUCAUCUUCCACUUUGCUGAAUUUUUUGUUUAUUAUUUUAAAGCUGAACUUUCUUAAACUCUUUUAACUAUGACCAUGGCCAGUUUAAACCCCUCAAAUUCUAUGGUACUUUUUUUGUAGUUUAUUUCCAAUCCGAGCAGAUUCUCUUUGUACAUUGUCUAAAAAAUUUAACAAUUUAUUUUCAUAUCCUCAAACUACACUGAUUAAAUGCAUCCCUUUUUUUGUAAAUUUUAUU